rnacentral:misc_RNA from 1 species
CUAUUCCUCGGUGGCGCAGGUUAACAAAUUUGGAUACAAAUAAUAAAAUUAGCGCACAUUAACUCUCAUUAUCUUUCGUUAAUCCACACCUUCAAUUAUAAUUAUUAUUUGUUUUGGGUUUAGGGGCUAGAGGACUGGAGAUCCAAGGCAAGUUCGUGAAGUUCACAGCAAUAGGGGUUUACUUGGAGGAUGAAGCAGUGCCGGUACUCGCCGUUAAGUGGAAGGGCAAGAGUGGGAAGGAGCUGACGGAUUCCGUCGAGUUCUUUAGAGACAUCGUUACAGGUAAACAUUUUUUAUGUUUGCGUUUUGUCUUUGGAACUUGUCUUAGGCCUAAGUGAAAAUUUAAAAAUAAGUUCCAACUUCCUGGAAAUACAUACCUACCAUGAAAACCACUGAGCAUAGUGAUCUGAUGGUAGCCUAGUGUGGUGUGGUGGGAUAGUAUAGUCCCAAUUUCGGUUUCAUCUCUACACUAACGCGAUGACUAAAUAUCGUAUAAUUGUGCCCCAUCGAGACCCAAUGACUCAUCCCGGGCUAGUUACAUCCUGAUGUAGCAAUUACCAAAUGUCAAUUAAAGCAAUAAAUUUAUUGGGUUUAUUUUGUUUGGUAGAAUUAAAUCUGAAUGAAAUUUGAGUUCGAGAUUUUGCAGCUUGAAGGAUGACUCCAAUACUAUUAAGUUAUUUGCGGCAGUUUAUUACUUCAUUAAAAGUAUUUUGGAUCAUGGUUAUUUAAUUGGGUAUUUGGGGUCAAAUCAUCUUGUAAGACUGAUUUAGCACACGCAACUUUGCGCAAAAGUUUUUACUUUUAAUUGGGGAGAAGAGCUUACUAAUAUAGCUUCAACAUGAUGUGAUGUUUCUCAAGGUCCCUUUGAGAAGUUUAUACGAGUGACAAUGAUCUUGCCAUUAACGGGUCAACAAUAUUCAGAGAAAGUUUCAGAGAAUUGUGUUGCCAUUUGGAAAUCUUUGGGAAUUUACACUGAUGCAGAAGCGAAGGCCAUUGAUAAAUUCUUGGAGGUCUUCAAAGCUGAAACUUUUCCUCCUGGCUCUUCUAUUCUUUUUACACUAUUGCCUCAUGGAGCAUUAGCGAUUACUUUCUCGAAAGAUGGAUCAAUACCAGAAGUUGAGAAUACCAUGAUAGAGAAUAAACUACUCUCAGAGGCAGUGUUGGAGUCGAUUAUAGGGAAGCAUGGUGUUUCUCCUGCAACAAGAGAGACGAUGGCUACAAGGCUGGCAGAAUUAUUUAUUUAAAAACCAUGCUUAAAUUAAUGGAGAUGAUAACAUAGUAUUUCAUUAUCUCCAGCAGAAUGGAGAGAAAGCUGUGUGGGGCAGCUGAAGUGGAGUGAAAAAUGAGAGAUAAACAGAUCAAAAGAUGUGUUUCAAAGCUCAUCUGUUAUAAUAAUGAAAGUUAUGCGUUUUUAUGUGUAAAAAGUUUGCUUGGUUUCAGAAGGGGAAAAAAAUAAAACAAAAAACAGAGUAAAUUCAAAUGACUUGCAUGGUAUGUUUUUAAGGUAUGGUGAUCCAGAUUACGUUUUGUUAGAGAAAUUUUUAUGUAUACCCGGCGAAGUUCAUAUAUAAGAUAAAUAAAAAUGAUAGAGAAAGAUUUU